rnacentral:rRNA from 1 species
AACGAACGCUGGCGGCAUGCCUAACACAUGCAAGUCGAACGAGACCUUCGGGUCUAGUGGCGCACGGGUGCGUAACGCGUGGGAACCUGCCCUUAGGUUCGGAAUAACUCCCCGAAAGGGGUGCUAAUACCGGAUAAUGUCUUCGGACCAAAGAUUUAUCGCCUUUGGAUGGGCCCGCGUUGGAUUAGCUAGUUGGUAGGGUAAAAGCCUACCAAGGCGACGAUCCAUAGCUGGUCUGAGAGGAUGAUCAGCCACACUGGGACUGAGACACGGCCCAGACUCCUACGGGAGGCGGGGGGGGGGAUUUUUGGACAAGGGGCAAAGGCCUGAUCCAGCAAUCCCGGGUGGGUGAUGAAGGCCUUGGGGUUGAAAAGCUCUUUUCCCGGGGAUGAUAAUGACAGUCCCGGGAAAAUAACCUCCGGCUACCUCCGUC